rnacentral:rRNA from 2 species
CGGCGUGCCUAAUACAUGCAAGUCGAGCGGACCUCUUCGGAGGUCAGCGGCGGACGGGUGAGUAACACGUGGGCAACCUGCCUGUAAGACUGGGAUAACUCCGGGAAACCGGAGCUAAUACCGGAUACUAUGUCAAACCGCAUGGUUUGACAUUCAAAGACGGUUUCGGCUGUCACUUACAGAUGGGCCCGCGGCGCAUUAGCUAGUUGGUGAGGUAACGGCUCACCAAGGCAACGAUGCGUAGCCGACCUGAGAGGGUGAUCGGCCACACUGGGACUGAGACACGGCCCAGACUCCUACGGGAGGCAGCAGUAGGGAAUCUUCCGCAAUGGACGAAAGUCUGACGGAGCAACGCCGCGUGAGUGAUGAAGGUUUUCGGAUCGUAAAACUCUGUUGUCAGGGAAGAACAAGUGCCGGAGUAACUGCCGGCGCCUUGACGGUACCUGACCAGAAAGCCACGGCUAACUACGUGCCAGCAGCCGCGGUAAUACGUAGGUGGCAAGCGUUGUCCGGAAUUAUUGGGCGUAAAGCGCGCGCAGGCGGUUUCUUAAGUCUGAUGUGAAAGCCCCCGGCUCAACCGGGGAGGGUCAUUGGAAACUGGGAAACUUGAGUGCAGAAGAGGAGAGUGGAAUUCCACGUGUAGCGGUGAAAUGCGUAGAGAUGUGGAGGAACACCAGUGGCGAAGGCGACUCUCUGGUCUGUAACUGACGCUGAGGCGCGAAAGCGUGGGGAGCGAACAGGAUUAGAUACCCUGGUAGUCCACGCCGUAAACGAUGAGUGCUAAGUGUUAGAGGGUUUCCGCCCUUUAGUGCUGCAGCUAACGCAUUAAGCA